rnacentral:tRNA from 1 species
ACCGCGAUAGCUCAGCUGGUGGAGCACCUGCGCGGUAUGCGGAGGGUGGCUGGUCGAUUCCGGCUCGCGGCA